UAAAGUUAGUUUCUUUUGACAAGUGGCUCCUGAUUGUGCCCAGCCAGACUGCGGCAAAAAGUAUUUUUUAAAAACAUGCCAGUGGGCAGUCCAUGAACCUCCUUUCCCAGCUAAAUUUAGAGCAUUGAUAUCAUAGGGUGUUGUAGUAAUGACUAUGACAGUUUGUUUAUGGGGCUGGAAGGGGGCAGUCCUCAUGCUUUUUUUUCAAGGAAGACAGCACAUGCACUUUGCUAACAACUACUAGCCACUAUAAAACCUUACACAAGUGCAGAGAGGUGGGCGUGGAGCUGGAUCUGCAGUGUGCUGCUCUGAAAGCCCUUGUGGGUGGAGCCUUUGUGUGUGUAUGUAUGUAUGUAUGUAUGUAUGUAUUUUUCUGUGCUAGAGAUUGAAUCCAGGACCUUAAGCACUGUUGACAAGUGUUCUACCCCAAGCCCUGUGUGGAACCUUUUGAAGCAGAUUAGAGGUGAGUUUUGUUCACCCUAUACUUUCAGACCUACACAUACACACCAAAUAAAGUUAAGACAUCAAAGCCAUUAUUUCUUAUUAAUUGACAAAUUUAUCAAUAGUAUGAUUUGCAUUUGACUUGGCAGUGUUUGGAUGUUCCAAAGAAUGAACUGAAGUGAAACAUCUCUUUUUGAUGCUAUUUUUCAUGAAUAAAAUGAUGCCAUUUAUUAGUUUUGACUGGUGAAAAAUGAUGGAUCAUGGUGUCAAAGAAUUGCCUUGCAUUACUAUUGUCCUGAGGUUUUGUCUUAGCAGAAGAUAGGUGAGCUUCCAUGGCUUGUUGUCCCACGCAAACAGUUACAUGAUAAAUUCAAAUUGGGUGAGUAUAGCAAAUUUAUAUUCAGAAUGUCUAAAUUACCAAAAAAAUGUCAAGUCCAAGAGAUCUUGCCAAGGAACAAAUGGUUCUUUGGCAAGCAGAAGACUGUAGAACUGCACUGUCUGAAAUUGUGCCCUUCAAAUGUGGCUAGUGCUACUGAGUGUUUUAAUUUCCUGUAGAAAAUGAAUACAAAGGUGGUUUAACCCAUUAUGUCCCAUAUUCUCAGAUGUGGGCCUCCUAUAAAACAUAAAUUGAACAUCAUUACCCUAAGUACAUGUAUGAAGACACGAAUGGUAUGACUGUACUUUGUGUACAACCAGAGAAAUGAAAAAUUGUGAUCUACAUGUGUACUAUGAACUAAAGUGCAUUCUGCUGUCAUGUAUAACAAAUUAGAAUAAAAAAAUAAAUCUUUAGAAAUGUAAACUGAAUAAUCCAUGCACCACUUAUGGUAAC
rnacentral:lncRNA from 1 species